CCUGUGAUAUUUGCCAGGAACUGUGGGGUGAAGUCAAUCCCCUUCUGGUCAAGUAAUUUGAUGGCAAAUUGAUGGCAGUCAAUUUCAUGCCUUUUCAUACUUUUCUGCUUGUCAUGCAGUCAGCUCUUGUAGUAGAGCAUGGUGCUUUGCCAUUGAUGGUCACUGCACAGUCUAUAUGCUUUUCCUAAUAUUUUUUGUCAUUUGUUAUUGAAAAACAUCACCAGAAAAUUAUUAAAACAAUACCUGAAUAUAUCCCCUUGUAGAUAUUGGAAAACGUAAAUGUAAAAGGACCUCCACUGAAGCUUAUUAAAACCUGCAGAGGAACUGUUAGUUUCAAUGAAGUAGGCUGAAUCAAUGAACAUCCUAGUUUCAAUGAACUAGGAUGAAUCAGGCUCUAUUGUAAGUAGCUAAGUGCUCUCGGUAAGGUUCUGUGCUCAUUUGAGUCAAUUGUAAUGGCUGAUGGCUUCAAUGAGUUUCACCUGAUCAACAGGUGUUGCAGAUUACUUCAUUGUACAUAUUUUGCUGAAGACAAUUACUGAGGAUUAUUUCUUCUUCCUCAGUCUGCAAGCACUUCCUCAGGUUAGGGAGAAUUUUUGUUUUGUUUUGUUUUGUUUUCAAAAUGGUUCUGUUUAUAGUGCUCUAGGAAGUGCUACCUGUGUUACAGGUGUUGCUUACAAAGAUGAAGAGCUUUGACUCUAGGUCAAGAAAGAGCUACAGAGAAAGUUGUCAGAAGCUAGUUGGCAUGUGCAUAAGGUCUGUUAUUCAAAAGAAAAGUCUUCUAAAGGAAAGAGCCUGAGAGUCAAGAAUAUGAAUCAGAUCAAAUGAUAUAUUUGAAGAGAAAAGAAUGAGUUAUACCAGCCAUUAUGGUUCUCCAGCACUGUGUCUAUGGUGCAUUCGCUAUCUGUUUCAAACACAAGUAGCCCAGCAGAAAAAUGUAACAUGCUAUAAUUUCUCCAUGCCAAGAAAAGGUAAGAGGGAGGUUCUUGUGGAAAAACUCUUAAAUAGAGAGUGACAUUUUUACGAUGAGGAAUGUUGCAUUUAACUUGAUAAUAAACUUCCUUGAUGUUGGUUUUCA
rnacentral:lncRNA from 1 species